rnacentral:tRNA from 1 species
GCCUGGUUGGCUCAGUCGGUUGAGCGUCCGACUUCAGCUCAGUCAUGAUCUCACGGUUCGUGAGUUCGAGCCCCGCAUCAGGCU